rnacentral:lncRNA from 1 species
GUACUAACACAGUAAGUACGCAAAAUCUUUUGCAGUCGGCCAAUUCUUUUUUCUUUUUCUUUUUUUUGAGAGAUAAGUAGCACGCUACCCGUUUCGUUUAUUUCAUUUAGAAAUAAACUUAGCUAGAAAUGUGAAUCAACUAGAAUUCGAACUUGGGUUUCGGAUACCAACCACCAAACCCUUUGCCACUUGCUCCAGAGACGGUCGGUGAGUCGACCAAUUCUCGAUCA